AGCUUCCGCCUGCUACGGUCCUGGCAAGCACCUCGGGAUCCCAUUCCUUCACAGGGACCCUAGCCAGGAGUCUCUGCAUUAGUUGGACAGCUCUUCUGGAAUUAUCUUCUAAGUCAACUGUGGGUUGGGUAGGUGGCUCUGCUGAUUUUUCGCUGGACUUCCACAUUUGGGACGAGUUGGCUGUCAUCAGCUCUAGAAAGGGUGUGGCCGUUUUACAUUGGCUGUUUUCCUCACAUUCCUCAAGCAGGAGGGCUCUGAGAGAUUUCAUUUCUGUCCUGCUGAUGAAGUCUACGUUCAUUCAGGGCCUGCUGUGGAAGACCAGCCCCAAAGUUGCUGAACAGAAGACUUUUGAGAGUCAGCAGAAAUCUUCCACUUUGCAUGGUUCUCUUGAUGUGAAAUCAUCUAUAUAGCCCCAGAAUUGGAAAAGAAAAAAAAUAAAAAAAUGGAAGGAAACUGGAUUCGACAACAGUCUAAUGCUUUCUACUUUUAUUUACUUUUUCUUUAAAAAAAGUAAAUUCUGUUUAUAGUUACAAACAUCUGAUUUCUCAAUGAAUACUAGAGGAAAAAGGGAACAAAGGAAUCCAUAAUCUUCAAUUUACUUAAGAACUUAAUUAACCAAAUGCAAUGGACUCUAUUUGGGUACUGAUUUGAACAAAUAAACUAUAAAGACAUUUUUGAGACAAUUGGGGAAAUGUGAACAAUGAUUGGGUAUUUGAUGAUAUUAAGGAGUCACUGUCAAUUUUUAGGUGUGAUCAUGGUAUUGUGGUUCUGUUCCAAAAAAUAGCCCUUAUCUUUUAGAGCUAUGUUACAGUUUGGCUCCGUAUCCCCAUCCAGGCUUCAUCUUGAAUUGUAAUUCCUGUAUGUCAAAGGAGCAACCUGGUGGGAGGUGAUUGGGUCAUGGGGAUGGUUUCACCCAUGCUGUUCUCAUGAUAGUGAGUUCUCAUGAGAUCUGAUCGUUUAAAAGUGUGACACUUCCCCUCUUGCUCUCUUGUCUCCCACCACCAUGUAAGACAUGACUUGCUUCCCCUUCUGCCAUAAUCAUAAGAAUUGUAAUUUUCCUGAGGCCUCCCAAGCCAUGUGGAACUGUGAGUCAAUUAAACCUCUUUUCUUUAUAAAUUACCCUGCAACUGUCACCAUUCUCCAGACCCCAGAAUGGUAGAUCCAGCGACAGCCCUUGCACCUUCACCUGGAAAAGCCUCAGGCACUCACACCAGCCCUAAGACUGUGUAAUUUAUAAGGAAAAGAGGUUUAAUUGACUCACAGUUUUUAUAGCACUGUGAAAAUGGACUAAUAACAGAAAACUGGUAUCAGAAUAGUGGGGUACUACUAUAAAGAUAACCUGAAAAUGUGGAAGUGACUUUGGAACUGGGUAAUGGGCAGAGGUUAGAACAGUUUGGAGGAAUCAGAAGACAGGAAGAUGUGAGAAAGUUUGGAACUUCCUACAGACUUGUCAAAUGGUUUUGACUAAAAUGCUGAUAGUGAUAUGGACAAUGAAGUGCAAGCUCAGGUGGUCUCAGAUGGAGAUGAGAAACUUAUUGGAAACUAGAGUAUCUUGUAUGUUUUAGCAAAGAGACCAGUGGCAUUUUGCCCCCACCCCAGAGAUCUGUGGAACUUUGAAGUUGAGAGAGAUGAUUUAGGGUCUCUGAGAGAAGAAAUUUUUAAGGAUUCAAGAGGUGAUCUGGCUUUUGUGAAAGUGUACAGUCAUAUGCAUUCACAAAGAGAUGAUCUGAAAUUGGAACUUAUGUUUAAAAGGGAAGCAGAGCAUAAAAGUUAAAAAAAAAUUGCAGCUUGGCCAUGUGGUAGAAAAGAAAAACCCAUUUUAUGGGGAGAAAUUCAAGCUCGCUGCAGAAAUCUUCUUAAGUAAUGAGGAGCUAAAUAUUGCCAAGACAAUGGGGAAAAUGACUCCAGGCCAUUUCAGAGAUCUUCAAGGAAGCCUCUCCCAUCACAAGCCUGGAUAUCUAGGAGGAAAAAAUGGUUUUGUGGGCCAGGCUCAGAGCCCCACUGCUCUGUGCAGCCUCAAGACGGGGUGACCUGUAUUGCUGUUGCUUCAGCUCCACCCAUGGCUAAAAGGGGUCAAGGUACAGCUCAGACCAUUGCUUCAGAGGGUGCAAGCCCCACACCUUGGCAGCUUCCAUGUGGUGUUAAGUCUGCAGGUGCACAGAAGACAAGAGUUGAGCUUUGGGAGGCUCUGCCUAGAUUUCAGAGGAUGUGUGGAAAUGCCUGGAAGUCCAAGCAGAAGUCUGCUGUGGAGGUGGAGCCCUCAUGGAGAACCUCUACUAAGGCAGUACAGAGGAGAAAUGUGAGGUUGGAGCCCCCACACAGAGUCCCCACCGGGGCACUGGGUAGUGGAGCUGUAAGAAGAGGGCCACCAUUCUCUAGACCCCAGAAUGGUAGAUCCACCAACAGCUUGCACCGUGCACUUGGAAAAGCCCCAGGCACUCAACGCCAGCCCAUGAAAACAGCCACAGGGGCUGUACCCUGCAGAACCACAGGGGUGGAGCUGCCCAGAACUUUGGGAGUCCACCCCUUGCAUCAGUGUAGCUUGGAUGUGAGACAUGGAGUCAAAGGAGAUUAUUUUGGAGCUUUAACAUUUAAUGACUGCUCCACUGGGUUUCAGAUUUGCAUGGGCCUUGCAGCCUCUUUGUUUUGGCAAAUUUUUCCCAUUUGGAAGGGGAGCAUUUACCCAAUGCCUGUACCCCCAUUGUAUCUUGGAAGUAACUAACUUGUUUUUUAUUUUAUAGGCUCAUAGAUGGAAGGCUUGUCUCAGAUAAGACUUUGGACUUGGACUUUUGGGUUAAUGCUGGAAUGAGUUAAGACUUUGGGGUUCUGUUGGGAAGGCAUGAUUGUGUUUUGAAAUGUGAGAAGGACAAGAGAUCUGGGAGGGGCCAGGGUUGGAAUGAUAUGGCUUGGCUCUGUGUCCCCACCCGAAUCUCAUCUCAAAUUGUAAUCCUCACAUGUGGAGGAAGGUACCUGGUGGGAGCUGAUUGGAUCAUGGGGGUGGUUCCCCCAAGCUGUUCUCAUGAUAGUAAGUUCAUUCUCAUGAGAUCUGAUGGUUUAAAAGUGUGGCAUUUACACACUCUUUCUCUCCUGCUGCCAUGUAAGACAUGCCUUGCUUUCCCUUAACCUUCUGCCAUGAUUGUAAGUUUCCCGAGGUGUCCCCAGCCAUGUGAAACUGUGAGUUAAUUAAAGCUCUUUUCUUUAUAAAUUACCCAAUCUCAGGUAUUUCUUUAUAGCAGUGUGAAAAUGGACUAAUGGACUAAUGGAAAAUGGACUAAUACAAGAUACUUAUUGAAUAUAGAAUAAUUAUGUCUACAUAAUUAUUUACAGAUGAAAUAAUUAUGUCUAAAAUUUGCUUCAAAUAAUAUGUGAAUAUGGGGGAUGGGUUGGGAAUGGGUUUAACA
rnacentral:lncRNA from 1 species